AUUGAACGCUGGCGGCGGGCCUAACACAUGCAAGUCGAGCGAGCGGCGGACGGGUGAGUAAUGUAUGGGGAUCUGCCCGAUAGCGGGGGAUAACUAGUGGAACCGGAGGCUAAUACCGCAUACUAUCGGCUGAACCCAUAAGGGAUUAGCUAGUAGGUGGGGUAAAGGCUUACCUAGGCGACGAUCUCCAGCUGGUCUGAGAGCAUGAUCAGCCACACUGGAACGGAGACACGGUCCAGACUCCUACGGGAGGCAGCAGUGGGGAAUAUUGCACAAUGGGCGCAAGCCUGAUGCAGCCAUGCCGCGUGUGUGAAGAAGGCCUUCGGGUUGUAAAGCACUUUCAGCGGGGAGGCGUUACUCGCAGAAGAAGCACCGGCUAACUCCGUGCCAGCAGCCGCGGUAAUAC
rnacentral:rRNA from 1 species